rnacentral:tRNA from 1 species
GGUCUUAUAGUCUAUUUAGGAUAAUAAAUUGCAAAUUUAUUGGAGGGACAACCCUAAGGCUU